rnacentral:rRNA from 1 species
GACGAACGCUGGCGGCGUGCUUAACACAUGCAAGUCGAGCGGUAAGGCCCUUUCGGGGGUACACGAGCGGCGAACGGGUGAGUAACACGUGGGUGACCUGCCCUUCAGCGUCUGGGAUAAAGCCGUGGGAAAACCGGGUCUAAUACUGGAUAUGACUCCAUGACGCAUGUUGUGGGGUGGAAAGUCCUUGUGCGGCUGAGGAU